CUCUCUCUCUCUCUCUCUCUCUCUCUCUCUGAUAAUCAUAUAAUGCUUUGCAAAGCGCAAUUAAUGAGAGAACAUGCAAUGCUCUCCUUCUCAAGGUUGAUCAAAUCGGAUCUAUUAUUGAGAGUAUUGAAGAUGUAAAGAUGUCAAAGGUAGCUGGGUGGGGAGUGAUGGUUGACCGUAGUAGUCUGGGACAUAAACAAAGCAUAGCCAAUAAACUCUUACCUAAAAUGUUUUGUUUAGCGAAUGUACAGCACUUGGCAUUGGAGAAACAGAAGACGCUUUUAUUGCUGA